rnacentral:rRNA from 1 species
AGGCCGGGCAGCUAAGCCGUUUGGGCUAAGUGCUGAAAGCAUCUAAGCACGAAUCCCAUCCCGAGACAAGUUAUUCUUUCGUAAGAUGAAGGUCGGCAGUAAAAUACUGCGUUGAUAGGAAGGUGGUGUA